ACCUAGAUUGCAAGUAGCGUAAGUUAACAAUAGAGUAAAGCAACAGUUAAUGUCCGCAUGACAGGUGGAGUGAGGUGUGGGUGCAGUAAGGUGACAGGUUACUGGUGCGUGCCUAGUACCGCCGGUAAAACGAGGAUCAAGCCUCCACCUCACCCAUCAAACCCUCCACACUCUGACCUGUGUGUUGGCCCGCCAUGUGUACGCCCUCGGCCUCAGCAGUCUGCCGCUGGAGCGCGUCGGUGAACGGCGACUCGUCAGGAGGGGCUUCACCAAGCGCUCCGGCCUGGAUGUUAGUGCUGAGUGUUGCCGCCCGGACAGUGAAGUCGGUUAGUCUGAAUUGGUCUUAGAAAUCACUACGUUUACCUCAGUUUACUAAGGAGGAAAUUACACUGAAAUCUAGGCGUCCGGAUUCUGAUGUGCAGGGAUUUCUAAGGGAUGUGAGUGCCUGAGUGUUGCUGUUGGUGUCGUGGAAGUCCAGGAGUCUGAAUUGGUCUGAAAAAUCCCAGUAAAAUUUAUUUUUGCUAACUGGGAUUUUGUAAGCUGAAAUAUAGUUGUCCAAAUUCUGAAAUGCAGGAAAUUCAUAAAAGUAACAAGUGCCAGAGUGUUGGUAGUGAUUCAGUAACAGUCUGUCAGUACAAAUUCCAUUGCUCUGAAGAA